rnacentral:rRNA from 1 species
GUGGGGAAUCUUGGGCAAUGGGCGAAAGCCUGACGCAGCCAUGCCGCGUGAAUGAUGAAGGUCUUAGGAUUGUAAAAUUCUUUCACCGGGGACGAUAAUGACGGUACCCGGAGAAGAAGCUCCGGCUAACUUCGUGCCAGCAGCCGCGGUAAUACGAAGGGGGCUAGCGUUGCUCGGAAUUACUGGGCGUAAAGGGCGCGUAGGCGGACAGCUUAGUCAGAGGUGAAAGCCCAGGGCUCAACCUUGGAAUUGCCUUUGAUACUGGCUGUCUUGAGUUUGGGAGAGGUGAGUGGAACUCCGAGUGUAGAGGUGAAAUUCGUAGAUAUUCGGAAGAACACCAGUGGCGAAGGCGACUCACUGGCCCAAUACUGACGCUGAGGCGCGAAAGCGUGGGGAGCAAACAGGAUUAGAAACCCGAGUAGUCC